GAUCUGGCUCAGGAUGAACGCUAGCUACAGGCUUAACACAUGCAAGUCGAGGGGCAUCAGGGUGUAGCAAUACGCCGCUGGCGACCGGCGCACGGGUGAGUAACACGUAUCCAACCUGCCCUUUACUCGGGGAUAGCCUUUCGAAAGAAAGAUUAAUACCCGAUGGUAUAACAUGACCUCCUGGUUUUGUUAUUAAAGAAUUUCGGUAGAGGAUGGGGAUGCGUUCCAUUAGGCAGUUGGCGGGGUAACGGCCC
rnacentral:rRNA from 1 species